GAAAAGAAACUAACAAGGAUUCCCCUAGUAACUGCGAGUGAAGCGGGAAGAGCUCAAAUUUUGAAUCUGGCGGUCUUUGGCCGUCCGAGUUGUAAUCUAGAGAAGUGUUUUCCGCGCUGGACCGUGUAUAAGUCUCCUGGAAGGGAGCGUCGUAGAGGGUGAGAAUCCCGUCUUUGACACGGACUGCCAGUGCUAUGUGAUGCGCUCUCGACGAGUCGAGUUGUUUGGGAAUGCAGCUCAAAAUGGGUGGUAAAUUCCAUCUAAAGCUAAAUACAGGCGAGAGACCGAUAGCGAACAAGUACCGUGAGGGAAAGAUGAAAAGAACUUUGGAAAGAGAGUUAAACAGUACGUGAAAUUGCUGAAAGGGAAACGCUUGAUGUCAGUCGCGUCUGCCGGGGAUCAACCUUGCUUCUCGCUGGGUGUACUUCCCGGUCGACGGGUCAGCAUCAGUUUCGGUCGCCGUACAAGGGUGAGGGGAAUGUGGCACUCUUCGGGGUGUGUUAUAGCCUUUCGUCGUAUGCGGCGCUCGGGACUGAGGAACUCAGCACGGCCUCGCGUCUGUGCUUAGGAUGCUGGCAUAAUGGCCUUAAUCGACCCGUCUUGAAACACGGACCAAGGAGUCUAACAUGCCUGCGAGUGUUUGGGUGACAAACCCGAGCGCGCAAUGAAAGUGAAAGUUGAGACCUCUGUCGUGGAGGGCAUCGACGCCCGGACCUGAGUCUUUGACGACGGAUCUGCGGUAGAGCAUGCAUGUUGGGACCCAAAGAUGGUGAACUAUGCCUGAAUAGGGUGAAGCCAGAGAAACUCUGGUGAAGCUCGUAACGAUUCUGACGUGCA
rnacentral:rRNA from 2 species